rnacentral:rRNA from 1 species
CCAGCCAUGCCGCGUGAUUGAUGAAGGCCUUAGGGUUGUAAAGAUCUUUCAGAUGGGAAGAUAAUGACGGUACCUUCAGAAGAAGCUCCGGCUAACUCCGUGCCAGCAGCCGCGGUAAUACGGAGGGAGCUAGCGUUGUUCGGAAUUACUGGGCGUAAAGCGUACGUAGGCGGACUAUUAAGUCAGAGGUGAAAUCCCAGGGCUCAACCCUGGAACUGCCUUUGAUACUGGUAGUCUAUAGGUCGAGAGAGGUGAGUGGAAUUCCGAGUGUAGAGGUGAAAUUCCGUAAAUAUUCGGAGGAACACCAGUGGCGAAGGCGGCUCACUGGCUCGAUACUGACGCUGAAGUACGAAAGUGUGGGUAGCAAACAGGAUUAAAUACCCUGGUAGUCCACCCCGUAAACGAUGAAUGCUAGUCGUCAGGGGACUUGUCCUUUGGUGACCCACCUAACGCAUUAAGCAUUCCGCCUGGGGAGUACGGUCGCAAGAUUAAAACUCAAAGGAAUUGACGGCGG